rnacentral:lncRNA from 1 species
GAAAAUAAGCUGAUUCUAUAGGACAGAAAAAGGAAGAGGGCAGGGGUCAUAAGGGGAUGUAAGCAUAAGAUACCCAAGCCAGAAACAGCAACCCUUCCAGGUCCCCUUCCCCCACGUGGAAGCUUUCCUUUCACUUUCGCUUUAAUAAAUCUUGCCGCAGCACACUCUCUAAUCGAGCUGUAACACUCGCCACUGCCGUCCACGGCUUCAUUCCUUGAAGCCGUGAGACCACGAACCCUUCGAUUGAGAAGAACCUUCGGUCGGAAGAAGACUUCUCGUCUCAGUAACAAUAACAAGAAAAACAGCCUAGACUAGACGCACAUCAGGAAGACAGGUACCCAGCAUAACCCCAUUGAAGAGCUGUUCCCUGGGACCUGGAGAGGAACACAGCAGGCUGCCAUGCCCACUGCACCUGCACCUCAUGGUGAAUGCUAAGCGUGCUGCAAGCUGGGUUCAGUUCCUUUUCCCCAGCUUCCUUCUUCCCUGGUUCAUUUUCUAAAGUUUACAGGGACAGUUUCACAGUGUCGGCCACAGCCGCAGAAUAAACAUGUGGAGAAGGUCAUUGAUCACCUUGACUGAAGCACUGCAGACAAGAUAAAGACAGCCUGAUGCAGAGGAAGAUUGAGGACUAAGGGGCUUCAUCCACAGAUGGCAUUUUCCAGACAGGGUGGCUCUCUCUGUUAGCGGGCAGGACCUUCUGUUACUUGGAUCAUUCUAUAACAACAUUUAGAAGCAGUGGAAUAAAAUUGCAAAAUGAAACCAAGUCCAUUUAUUCAGCGGAAUCGAAUUGCAAGAUGAAACCACGUCUGGGAAGCAUAUUUUUUUACAGAAGAAUCUGCAGUUUAGUUUUGUUUAUUGCAACACAGGUGCAAAGGGUCAACCUCACCUCAUUUAUCUUUCAGGGCAUGUUAUUAUUAUUGGUCUGUGAAAGAAUCGUUAAUCCCGUCAUGUAUUGACCCGGAAACAUCAUCUCAUUUGCCUAUAAGACAGAGAGAGAGAAUGAUAGAAAUGCUGGAAGAACGAGCCUUGGGGCGGUAUCGCCCAGAUCUGAAUCCACACAGCAGCUGCUUCGGUCCCUGUAACUCAAGGCUUCCUCUUAAUCCUCUGUCCUCCAUCAACACCUGGCUGAGCAGGAACAACUAUGACCUAGGACCAGGGCCUUCAGGAAUCUUCACCCCUAACUUGAACUUCAUAACACUGGAGACCUUCUAGGUAUCUGAAGAUGUUGAAGACCAUUUCCUGGAACAGCAGAGGUAAAUGCCCAGAGGAUGAGAACACAUAGCCAUUAGGAGAGCCUGAAAGUUCAGUGUGACUGAAAGAUGAAGUUCAAGAGAAGGGACAAACUGCAAAACACAAGCUGGAGAGUUUUAAGGAUAAACAGAUCCUGUGAUCAAAGAGUGAGAACACAGCCAUAGAGAGCUUUACAAAGGGCAUCAGUAUUAAUGUCAAAUGUUACUGAGGCCUCGAGGGAACUAACCAGUCAGAAGCAACCAUCGAAUUUAGUAAUGGACUUCACUCACUUGGUGAAAGCUGUUCCGUGUCAUGGUGGCAGAGACACAGCACAGUGGCUGAGAGUGAGCAGGAGCUGUGGAAGUUGAAUAAUGCCUGAAGGGACCAUUCUUUCGAGAGACUGUGGAAUGGAAUGACUCUCCAGAGCUGCAGAUUGAAGGCAUAUUUUCAUCUGACUUUGGUGAUUAUGUUUCCAAUCUCUCUGGGAAUAAGGUGUGUUUGGGGUGGAUCUCAAUGGCGGGAACACCUUCAUGGCCCCUUUAUAGCUGGAUGAUCAUUUCCUGUUCUCUCCACCAUGGCCACCUGGUCCAAGCCACCAUCUUCAUGCACCUGGAUACCUGCCAUAACCUCAGCUGACCUUUCCUGUGUCCAUUCUUGUUCCUUUGGGCCCAGUCUCCUCGCUCAUAGCAGCAGAAUGAGUCUAUUAAAAAGUGAAACAAUUUCUGUC